rnacentral:rRNA from 1 species
CUGGCGGCGUGCUUAACACAUGCAAGUCGAACGAGAAUCGUGCGGAAAGAGGAUUCGUCCAAUUGAAGCAGAGGACAGUGGCGGACGGGUGAGUAACGCGUGAGGAACCUGCCUUUCAGAGGGGGACAACAGUUGGAAACGACUGCUAAUACCGCAUGACACAUAGGUGUCGCAUGGCACUUAUGUCAAAGAUUUAUCGCUGAAAGAUGGCCUCGCGUCUGAUUAGCUAGUUGGUGAGGUAAACGGCCCACCAAGGCGACGAUCAGUAGCCGGACUGAGAGGUUGAACGGCCACAUUGGGACUGAGAUACGGCCCCAGACUCCUACGGGAGGCAGCAGUGGGGAAUAUUGGGCAAUGGGCGCAAGCCUGACCCAGCAACGCCGCGUGAAGGAAGAAGGCUUUCGGGUUGUAAACUUCUUUUGUCAGGGACGAGCAGAAGACGGUACCUGACGAAUAAGCCACGGCUAACUACGUG